GACGAACACUGGCGGCGUGCUUAACACAUGCAAGUCGAACGGAAAGGCCCUGCUUGCAGGGUGCUCGAGUGGCGAACGGGUGAGUAACACGUGGGUGAUCUGCCCCUUACUUUGGGAUAAGCCUGGGAAACUGGGUCUAAUACUGGAUAGGACCAUGCUGUAGGUGGUGUGGUGGAAAGAUUAGUUUCGGUAAGGGAUGAGCUCGCGGCCUAUCAGCUUGUUGGUGGGGUAAUGGCCUACCAAGGCGUCGACGGGUAGCCGGCCUGAGAGGGUGGACGGCCACAUUGGGACUGAGAUACGGCCCAGACUCCUACGGGAGGCAGCAGUGGGGAAUAUUGCACAAUGGGCGCAAGCCUGAUGCAGCGACGCCGCGUGGGGGAUGACGGCCUUCGGGUUGUAAACUCCUUUCAGCCAUGACGAAGCCCUUGUGGUGACGGUAGUGGUAGAAGAAGCACCGGCUAACUACGUG
rnacentral:rRNA from 1 species